CUGGGCUGUGAGGAGAGUUUUCGGGCAACGGCCCCUGGUGCCUCGGGAGCCCGACCCGCCCGCCCCGAGAAACCCGCCUCACCUGGGCACGCGGGCUUCUGGAAGGCUCGGCGGGCGGGGCACGGGGCUGCGCGUGCUGCCCAACGGACACUAACGGCCACAGGGCCCCGCGCGCCGCCCCCUGUGGGUGCUGCGGGCGGAGCGAAGGUGUAAGAAGCUGCAGGCUCUGCAGUCAGCUGCCACUUCAGCUUCUUUGGACUUCCAGGCUGGCUGGUUUGUUUUCUUCUCUGGUGGUAGCUGAAGCUGCUUUUCAUGCUCAAGUGGGAAGAGAAGGAAGCAGCACAAGGCUCUCAGGGUUAAGAGAUUCAAACCUCUGCCACUGCAGUGCUGUGGUGGCUUCGGGAGCUGUGACCGCAUCUACGUUGAAGGCAACAAUACUGCACAGUGGGAAUUUGGAGAAAUAAACCAAACUGAGCUAGGGAACAUGGUCCGAUUGCAAGUGCAGUCUCAUGUCCCUCCCUUCUUCACUUUGCCCUGACCCCGCACAGCCCAGGCAUUAUGUCACACCAUCAGCAUGUCUUUCUCCUAGAUGCAGCAAGUCCCUUCCCAAGUGGAAGGAGCGCCGAACUGUCUGCCAGACUUACUUUCACACUUGGCACAUGAGCAAUCAAACUGAUCAGAAGUCUUACCUGGAAAAUAUGGAAACCUAUAGGAUGACACUUGCUAUCCUGGCAGUGCUGUCAGAGACUAACUAGAUUAUUUGCACAAGACAGAUGUUUUCUCAUACCACACCUGUAUAGAGGCUUUGAAGUUGUCCUUCCUCCUUGACUGGAAAGCCCAUGGCAAUCUCAUCAAAUUCCCUGCAAAAUUUCUCUUCAUCAAUGCAGAAUUUUCCCUUUUGGAUCUGUGAGAGCAGUUCUGAGGCAACUACUGGAUCCAGCUGGUUCCAUCCUUGACCACUGCACAUCAGACAAAAGUCAACAUCUAGUUCUUCACCCAAUAAAGUUCCAUAACAAUGUUCUAUCAAAUAUCCUAUGGAGCAGGACAAUAAGAAGAGGAUUUUUUUUCCUUUUAUUGUCAAAUACUUGCUUUUAAUAUUUCCUGUAUACACAUCACUAGUGAAUGGGAGGGAUAACAGGAACUAUCAAUCACAGCUUAUCAAAGAAAACUUAGAACCAACCUCACACCAGAUAGGAUACAGCAGCACACUUGUAGGUGAAAUAACAACUUUGCUUAUAACAGACAGUACAGUCAAAAGUGUGAUGGCAGAAUAAAGAUUUUAAUAGUUGUUAAAAAUACUGACAAAAAGGUAAAACAAGCUGCACAGUGACUGUUCUGAAAGAAUUUUAAUGCUCUGUAGUGAAGAUCAAACCCCACCAUUUGUAUGAAGCAGCCAGUUAUUCCCAUGAACCUGCUAGCUAAGUCACGAUAAGCUAAGAAUUUAAACACCUCAUUAUUUAGGGCCCAUUAAAAGCUUGUGCUUUCAACAUUUUUGACUAUUUCACUAACAACAAAGAACAGUUCUGCACUUGAAUAAAACAGGGCUCUAAGGUCACUUGGUGAAAUGCUAUCUUAUUGCAACUACAUGACAACUUACUGUUUGGCAAAGAAACUACAAGAGCCCAACUGUAUAGGCAAAACUCUGCCAAAAGCAAAAACCAUCAACUUAAGUCUCAAUUAAUGCAAUUAAGCUGCCUUUUUAACACGGGGCAGGGGGGAAUGACACACACACCCUGUUCUCUAAAUUUAACAUGAUCACACUGUUACCAUAUUUUAACGAUAAUAGCUUGCUCCUUGGGUCAAGAAUUGCGUGUUUUUUUGUCCUGUCUAAAUAUGCUAACACUUGACAAAACAAGCUAGUAGUGUCUGCCCUUUCAUUUUUGUUACUUUGCUACAUGAACUGCUAAACAUGUUUCUGCAUUUCCUUUAAAACAGAUCUCAUUUCUAUGUACUCAGUUCCAGCUUAUCCUUCUUAUAUUAAUCUACACAAAUGACAGUGCACAAGCAAAAAACAGAAGUAUCCUUCUGCUGUGUUUUGUUUUAUACAUAUUCCUUUGCUUGUCUUCUGCAACUGAGACAAGAUCAAACGAGAAAAGCCAAGUAAAGCUGAGUGACUGCUUAGAAGUCACAAAUUUCUUAUGAACAAAGAUACUUAGGUAACUGCAGAACAACAACAAAACCCCACACAACAAAAAUCAGAGACAGAAAAUAAGCCAAGAUCUUUUCUCUACAAGAAGAUACAAUGCUAUGAUAAAAAAAAAAUUGGUAUUAAAAAAAUGUUAAAUUACCAGAACAAAUCAAAAUGUGUAACCUGGAACCAAUAAGCUGUGUGAACUACUCAACUCUCUAAGGGAUAGCACACCAACUCAAGUCUCUCUCCUCCACUAUAGCCUAUUAACACUAUUUGCCUUUGCAAUACAUAGAUAUGCUUCUUGCUUCAGAACUUUGACAAAUGAUUUUCCAAAUGAAAAUGAACUUACCCUUCACACCAGAGACCCCUCCAACACUGCCUCCCCCAAGGAUUUACUGUUCAUAGUAGGAAGAUUUCCUUGCCUGACACUUCAGGCAGAUUCAACAUGUCUAUCACCAUAAAGGCAUGAAAUUCUCCGAGUUCACUUGAACCAGAAUAGAAUGAAAAGCAUUUGAAAGUAAACAAAAAAACCUGCUCCAUAUGUUACAAUGAAUGACAUUAAACUAUCCAGUGAAAGAAGGCAGUUUUGAGCUAAGAGGAAAUUAAAGUGGUAUACAAACAGCAUUAAAGAACCCAAACAGUUUGACUUUAUUUGUGACUAUAUAGAAAUAAAAUAAAUGAAAAAUUUAAAGCAUAUUAACUCACUGCUUGAUCUCAAACGUGUACAAAUUCUUGGUGCCAAAAUUCAUUGAGGUUUUUAAGGGGGGUUUUAGGUGUUUUGUUGGGGAGUGUGGGGGUGUGUUUCUUUUUGAGAACUGACCAAACUGGUAUUGAUAUAAAAACAGCCCUCAAAAGCA